rnacentral:rRNA from 1 species
CUACGGGAUGCUGCAGUGAGGAAUAUUGCACAAUGGGGGGAACCCUGAUGCAGCAACGCCGCGUGGAGGAUGACGCAUUUCGGUGUGUAAACUCCUUUUAUAUGUCAAGAAAAUGACGGUAGCAUAUGAAUAAGCACCGGCUAACUCCGUGCCAGCAGCCGCGAGUAAUACGGAGGGUGCAAGCGUUACUCGGAAUCACUGGGCGUAAAGGACGCGUAGGCGGGUUGGAAAGUCAGGUGUGAAAUCCUACAGCUUAACUGUAGAACUGCACUUGAAACUUCUAAUCUAGAGUAUGGGAGGGGGAGAUGGAAUUAGUGGUGUAGGGGUAAAAUCCGUAGAUAUCACUAGGAAUACCUAAAGCGAAGGCGAUCUCCUGGAACAUUACUGACGCUAAGGCGUGAAAGCGUGGGGAGCAAACAGGAUUAGAUACCCGUGUAGUC